rnacentral:rRNA from 1 species
UACGUAGGGGGCAAGCGUUGUCCGGAAUCAUUGGGCGUAAAGCGCGUGUAGGCGGCUUCGUAAGUCCGUUGUGAAAGUCCAGGGCUCAACCCUGGAAUGCCGAUGGAUACUGCGGAGCUAGAGUCCGGAAGAGGCGAGUGGAAUUCCUGGUGUAGCGGUGAAAUGCGCAGAUAUCAGGAGGAACACCAAUGGCGAGGCAGCUCGCUGGGACGGUACUGACGCUGAGACGCGAAAGCGUGGGGAGCAAACAGG